CUGUGAUUGAGAUCAUCCAGGGACAGUGUGAUGUGCAACUGAUAAAAGGGCUGAAGUUAAAGCCUUACUAGCAUUUGAGGUGGAAGCCUU
rnacentral:sRNA from 1 species